CCUACGGGAGGCAGCAGUGAGGAAUAUUGGUCAAUGGACGCAAGUCUGAACCAGCCAUGCCGCGUGCAGGAAGACGGCUCUAUGAGUUGUAAACUGCUUUUGUACGAGGGUAAUACCCGUUACGUGUAUCGGGUUGACAGUACCGUACGAAUAAGGAUCGGCUAACUCCGUGCCAGCAGCCGCGGUAAUACGGAGGAUUCAAGCGUUAUCCGGAUUUAUUGGGUUUAAAGGGUGCGUAGGCGGUUCGAUAAGGUUGGGGGUAAAUCACUGGGGUUAACACCGGCACUGCCUUUAAUACUGUCGGGCUAGAGGAUAGUUGCGGUAGGCGGAAUAAAUGGUGUAGCGGUGAAAUGCAUAGAGAUCAUACAGAACACCGAUAGCGAAGGCAGCUUACCAAACUACGUCUGACGUUGAUGCACGAGAGCAUGGGGAGCAAACAGGAUUAGAUACCCCAGUAGUC
rnacentral:rRNA from 1 species